CCGCUUCUCAGUGCUGCUGUAGUUCCUUCGGCGAUGUUGCUCACCAUGGCCAAGGAUGCCAGAGGCACUUCUACUCCGU
rnacentral:pre_miRNA from 1 species